AAAAAGUUUGACAGUUCUCAAUCUGAGGAAUCUGCCUACGAAAUCGGUUGUCUUCUAAAACGACCGACCAGUAAACCUACUAAGUUGGCAUGCGUUGAUGCCAACGUUUCAGUCGAUCAAUUAAUCGGCAAAUUAGAUUGGCUUUAGUCGGGCAUGCACGGAAACACACUAAGUUGGUCAAAGAAUCGGUCAAUGAAAUACGUUUUAGUGUUGUUUACUAAAUGGACUUAGGUAAAUUAUUGUCUGCGUUAAUUUGAACCGGAAUUCCUGCAAUUUUCAAUGUUGUAGCAAAAAGGAGCUUGUACAAAGUUUGGUGAUGAACCAAAACAUAGUUUUGAGGUAGCGGUCCCAGCAGAAGGCCCGGCGCUUCAAUUGACCAUCGGUGUAUUUACUUAAAUCUUCUGGGGUGAUUGAACUAGCAGCCGAGACGUUGUAGGUAUGUAAUCCAUAACUUUUUGGCAGCUAAUUCAUACGCCGGUUCCAUUAAGACGCAGGUUCCCGCAUUUCUCCGGGGACAGUGAUUUUAAUCAACCUACUAAUCGGCCAACUUCGUAUGAUCGAGUUGGCUGAUUGCGAAUACCGAUUCGUCGGCUUACGUCUGGGUUAAAUUUCCAUAAGCGUAUGUUGCAACAUCGGCCGAUUAGUCGGUUAUUUCGUCAGUCGAUGCAUCCGACUAAACCCGAUUAUAUUUUAGGAACAGUAGGGUGUUUUUUCUA